ensembl:lncRNA
CUUUAUUCAGUAUAUGACUGUAAUGCACAGUAUAAAAGUUGGGCACAGCAGCUUUAAUACACAAAUUCAAAAUCACCACAUAAACAGGUGGACACGCUGCGGGUGCGUGUCAGUAAAUUCAUUUUUUCCACACACUCAAAACGUGGUUAGAUGGAUGCAGCAGGGAGACAGAGUUUGGUUCUGUUGAAGGAUCACCGCCUCCAUCUGCUCUCUCUGAUACCUGUUUAAAUAUUUUAUAAUACAGCCUAAUGAAAUAUGAAGAGCCCGGCUUUUCCAAACAAUUAAGCAUAAUGAGUGUGUCUCUCAGAGAUCGUGGCGCUAAAACUAAAAGGCAACAACUGGGAAAUCAAACAUGUCAAAGACAGAACUGAAACUCUACACUGAUGGAAGCACAGUCCGGAUCCAGCAUCCGGGCCCGCUCUUUACCGUCAGCCGACUGAGCCUAGUUUUGAAUUGACGGACGUUGGCGAUAACCAAUCAGCGCCUGCCGUGCGCCAAAGCUGUGUUUAUUCCACUUAACCGACCAAUCAGAGCCGUCCUCUGCGGGCAAGUGCGUCAUCAAAGUAGAAUGUGAAUGUGGGCUGCCUGUUAUCGGAGCACACUCUGCUCCCAUCCCCCAUCUCCACUGAGCAAUAGCGGCUGCCUUUUUGCGUGCCGCUUUGUCCUUCUCAGUUCAGCUUGUAAAAGCCAUGUGUACAAAAGUCGCCGUCCUUUAUUUUAUUCUACUAAACAAUGGCAGACACACAGGUCGACUCCGGCUCGGAUAUCUCUGCCAAGGACCUGAAAGAGAAGAAGCUGGUGGAGGAGAAGGAGAACGGCAAAGACGCCGCCACCAACGGAAAGGAGAAUGAGGAGAACGGUGAGCCCGAGGUAGAUGACGAGGAGGACGAGGAGGUGGACGAGGAAGAAGAGGAAGAUGAUGGAGAAGGUGAUGAGGAAGAUGAGGAGGAGGAUGAAGACGAGAUUGAGGGUGGCACAAAACGGGCAGCUGAGGAUGACGAGGACGACGAUGAGGACGACGUCGAAACCAAGAAGCAGAAAACCGACGAUGACGAUUGAUGCGUUUCCCCCGCGCCAUCCUGCUGAACCACUUCCUGAUUCUUCACCUCUGACCGUUUUUCUAUGUCGCAGGUGGAGGGGCUGGAGGACUGAUUUAAAGGAAAAAAUAAUAAUAAUAAAAAAAUCCAACAUGGUCAUUAGCAAGUAGAGUUCAACAAACACCCGCCACGUCCACACUCACCCGAGCUCCCCUCAACGCUGCGAGACGAAUUUUCUAGAGGAACCCGCCACCGCAUCGACAACGCAGAAAUCCGGCUUCUCUUCAGCAACAACACAAAAGGAGAAUUUGUUUGUAUUUUUAUUUACAUUUUAUAUUUUUGUACAUAUUGUUAGGAGAGGGGAGGGGGGGCAGUUUCUCUCUCGAUCUCGUCAGACCAAAUCGGUGCUUCUCUAACGAAAGAUUUUACUUGGUUGACCAUGUUACGAUAUCUCAACAGAUCCUAGAAAAACGUGUAAAAAAGUUAAAAAAAAAAUAAAAUAAAAACAUGAAAGACAACCUCUUAAGCCGUUGAACUCAGAGCAUUCCAGUAAAUUUAAUGUAUGUACUUUAGCUGUACCAUAACUAGUUUGUUUGUAUGGGAGGGUAAGGCCAAAGAAAAGAGCCUCUUUUCUUUUUCCUUUCUUUUGUUUUUUUCUUUUGGUUUUGUUUUUGUCAGCGACUUUUUGUUUUAUGACGGCCUGUUUUGAUGUAUGUGCAAAGUUUGUUGUUUGACAAUAAACCGGACUUUUAUUUUGUGAGUUGUACUUUGUAUCUCUGCCCCUUUUUAUUUGUGCUUUGCUCUCCCGCGAGGAAGAGGAAGCGGUGCAGGUAAACCUGAGGUCUGCUUUUACUUUAGGGUCACAACAGCAGGGAGGAGGGUCCAGCACAUUUUAUUGGACAUUUUACACUCAUUACAUCCAUAUAAUUUAUAUCACAUAAAAAUUAAGGUUUGGUACUAAAAUAAACUUGUGGUGGUUCCAAAAGAGUAAAAUGUGAUUUAUUUCUUUUGGAUUUUUCUUUUCUUCUGGAUCACAUAAAUAAGGGUUUCUGCAUAAAUUUAAAGUCUUAACAUUAAAAUAAAGCACAGUAAGGUCUGAGAAGCUGAUCUGUAUUCUAAUAAAUUUGCUCAGUUUGUAGAGGUUGUGUUUAAGAACUGUGGGAAAAAUCGUUGCCAAUAAGUUUAAUUUUGUAAGUUAGUCUGUUAGUAUAUUUAUUUGGACCGAUGUCCAGGUAAGUGCAUUUCUGCAAUUUCAAGUUCUUUGGUUUGAAAAUUUUAAAAGUGCAGAGAAAAAGAGUAAAAAGUUGGAGAAAUUCCUGAUUCAGCAUCUUCCAGUGAAGCAGUGGAAAACCUGCACAAUAAAAAGUGAAAGCUUCA